GAUAAGUGGUUCAAAGGUAGAACUCUCGCCUUAAAUGCGGCAUACCGCAGGUUCGAUUGCCGCCUAAGGCA